rnacentral:pre_miRNA from 1 species
AUACGAGUAAAUCUCAUCCUAAUCUGGUCGCAAAAUUAUCAAAAUGGACAAUGCUACCGGUUCGGCUUUGGGAUUGACUCGUGU